rnacentral:rRNA from 1 species
GAAAAAUUAUAUAGAUAAUAAAAGGUAAAAUUAGAAUAUUAUCUUGUAUAAAAAAAAAUUGUAAUCGAAGCUAGAAAAGUUUAGUAAUAAACUAGGAUUAGAUACCCUAUUAUUCUAAAAUAAAUUAACCUAAACUAAAUUAGUAAGAGAUAGAUACUUAAAAUUUAAAAAAUUUGGCGGCAAUUUAAUCUUUUCAGAGGAACCUGUUUUAGAAUCGAUAAACCACGAAAAAUCUUACUUGCUCUUACUAAUGAAUAAGUUUGUAUACCAUCAUUAUCAGAUAAUUCUUAAAGGAAAAAUUAUUAAAUUUAAUUGUUUAGUAAAAUUAGAUCAUGGUGCAGCCUAUGGGCAAGGUAAAAUGGGUUACAAUAAAUUACUUUAUUGCGGAUUAACGAGAUAAUAUUUGUUAUAAAGAAGGAUUUGAUUGUACCUUUAGUUUAAUAAGCUAAAGAGAUAUAAGUUCUAAAUUGUGUACAUAUCGCCCGUCGCUUUCAUUUAUAAGU